CACUGUGGAAUGGUUAGAUAAAGCUAACAUAUGCACCCUUCGGCUUUUUAAAAACUAACGUCCAAUUCAUCUAUCAACGACCAAUCAAAAUUCCGUGAGAGUAACGCCUUUGCUUAGCUUUCCAGUCCUGUUAAACGGUGAGAGACAAAAGGGUCCCCAUGACCCUGCCCAACAAGACGCCACGCAGCCAGAAAACGCCAAGUGACCCCCAGGCAGAUUUCCGGAAGAAAUCGGCUCUCCGAACCUGGAAGUGAAGACAGAAAACGCACGGCAUUCUGGGAAGCGUUACGGAGGCGGGAUUGCGUUUGCUGGCUGUUACCAGGACAACCGGAGGCGAUUGACCGUUAUCUGCGGUUUGGAGCCGUUAGCGCGAGAGGUGGAGAUGUUCAGAGGUCAUUUAGGAUGAGCUAAAGGGUCGUGGGGGCUCUCUUAAGAUUAUCUUAACAAGAGGUUUCCGGUCGUGCCCCGCGCCCCAGCCGCUGGACUGGGGGAUCUGAGUCGCACUCUCUCGUUUGUCUGAGUCAGUCUUAAGGUGAAAUGAAGUGUGGCCCAGUGACUUCACUGUCGCUUUCCUAGUUUUCUGUCUUCUUUUAGGAAAUUGAAUUGAAAAGGCAGGAUGAAGUGGACACAGCAUGUGAAGACAAUUCUUUCAAGAAGUUUGGCUGUCAAGGAAAAUAGAGAAUGUGAGUAGCCAGAGGACAAUGACAGGUGAAAGAAAGAAAUUGGGAGCCAGACAAUACAGCCUGACAGUUUAUGCCUGUAUUGAUGUCCCACCUCUAUCACAAAAUAUUGAGUAUCCUUGGGGAAAAAAUAUAUAUACUGUAAUAGGAGAAAAUGAUUGGAAGAGAAACUGAGGCAAAAGUAACUAGAAAACAAAAUAAAGCCAGAGGUAUGUUAAUACCCCAAAACUUCAUACCAAAAGGUCCAUGUAAUUACUAGAGGGGUGCCACAAAUUGGGUUCUGAGGUUCCUCACAACUAAACCAAAGGGUAAUAUAAGUUUCACAUGAUCCAUAUGAGGGAGGGGGACCAAUGGCAUAUUAUGGAAUCCUGUUAGACAUUAGCCGUAUGAAAUUCAUUGGGUAAUGUAAGUUCUUUAGACCUCAUUUCUCCAUUUCUUAAAGAGUGGAGUGAGGAAGGAAACUUAGAAGAGAUGAUCUUUUCAUAUCUCUUCCACUACUAGUAGUCUAUGAUCAUAUAGGCUGGAGACAGCAAACUCAAAUGCCUAAAUCAGGGACUAAGAAAGUUUCUUAAGUGAGGAAAUGGACUCAAUGUGAUAAAAGCAAGGAGUAAUAGAGUUUAUAAUGGUGGAGUUGAUUGAGCUGUCCCCUCUAAAACUCCAGACAAUUCUUGUAAGGAUAAGGACCCAGUGUUGCCAGAUGUUCUGAGUUUUCGGGAGAAACAGGGAAAUCAUAUUUUUGAUAAUAAUAUA